rnacentral:rRNA from 1 species
GACGAACGCUGGCGGCGUGCUUAACACAUGCAAGUCGAACGGAAAGGCCCUGCGUUUGCGGGGUGCUCGUGUGGCGAACGGGUGAGUAACACGUGAGUAACCUGCCCUUGACUUUGGGAUAACUUCAGGAAACUGGGGCUAAUACCGGAUAGGAGCUCCUGCUGCACGGGGGGGGUUGGAAAGUUUCGGCGGUUGGGGAUGGACUCGCGGCUUAUCGGCUUGAUGGUGGGGUAGGGACUUACCAAGGCUAUGACGGGUAGCCGGCCUGGGAGCGUGGCCGGCCACAUUGCGCCUGAGAUACGCCCCAGACUCCUACGUGCGGCAGCAGUGGGGAAUCUUGCACAAUGGGCGGAAGCCUGAUGCAGCAACGCCGCGUGCGGGAUGCCGGCCUUCGGGUUGUAAACCGCUUUCGCCUGUGCCGAAGCGUGAGUGACGGUAAUGGGUAAGGAAGCACCGGCUAACUACGUG